rnacentral:rRNA from 1 species
GUGGGAAAACACGAGGCGGGCAUUCCGAGGGCAACGCAUUGCGUUGGCUGUUCUUUCGCCUAAAAAGCGAGAGAAGUAAGGGCCGGGUAAGACGGGUGCCAGCCGCCGCGGUAAUACCCGCGGCCCGAGUGGUGCUCUUUGUUAUUGAGCUUAAAGCGUCCGUAGCCGGCCUUGUAAAUCCUUGGGUAAAUCGGGCAGCUCAACUGUUCGAAUUCCGAGGAGACUGCAAGGCUCGGGACCGGGAGAGGCUAGAGGUACUCUCGGGGUAGGGGUAAAAUCCUGUAAUCCUGAGAGGACCACCAGUGGCGAAGGCGUCUAGCUAGAACGGAUCCGACGGUGAGGGACGAAGCCCUGGGGCGCAAACGGGAUUAGAUACCCCGGUAGUCCAGGGUGUAAACGCUGCGGGCUUGGUGUGAGGAGGUCCUACGAGGGCGUCCGGUGCCGGAGAGAAAUUGUUAAGCCUGCCGCUUGGGGAGUACGGUCGCAAGACUGAAACUUAAAGGAAUUAUCUAAAGAGCACCGCAACGGGAGGAGCGUGCGGUUCAAUUGGAUUCAACGCCGG